rnacentral:rRNA from 1 species
AUCUGCCCCAAGGAGGGGGAUAACGGCUGGAAACGGCCGCUAAUACCCCAUAUGCCGAGAGGUGAAACGAAUUUUCGCCUUGGGAUGAGCUCGCGUCUGAUUAGCUAGUUGGUGGGGUAAGAGCCUACCAAGGCAUCGAUCAGUAGCUGGUCUGAGAGGAUGAUCAGCCACACUGGGACUGAGACACGGCCCAGACUCCUACGGGAGGCAGCAGUGGGGAAUUUUCCGCAAUGGGCGAAAGCCUGACGGAGCAACGCCGCGUGAGGGAUGAAGGCCUCUGGGCUGUAAACCUCUUUUCUCAAGGAAGAAGAACUGACGGUACUUGAGGAAUAAGCCACGGCUAAUUCCGUGCCAGCAGCCGCGGUAAUACGGGAGUGGCAAGCGUUAUCCGGAAUUAUUGGGCGUAAAGCGUCCGCAGGCGGCCUUGAAAGUCUGUUGUUAAAGCGUGGAGCUUAACUCCAUUUCAGCAAUGGAAACUACAAGGCUAGAGUGUGGUAGGGGCAGAGGGAAUUCCCGGUGUAGCGGUGAAAUGCGUAGAUAUCGGGAAGAACACCAGUGGCGAAGGCGCUCUGCUGGGCCAUAACUGACGCUCAUGGACGAAAGCCAGGGGAGCGAAAGGGAUUAGAUACCCCUGUAGUCCUGGCCGUAAACGAUGAACACUAGGUGUCGGGGGAAUCGACCCCCUCGGUGUCGUAGCCAACGCGUUAAGUGUUCCGCCUGGGGAGUACGCACGCAAGUGUGAAACUCAAAGGAAUUGACGGGGGCCCGCACAAGCGGUGGAGUAUGUGGUUUAAUUCGAUGCAACGCGAAGAACCUUACCAGGGUUUGACAUCCUGCGAACCCCUUGGAAACGAGGGGGUGCCUUCGGGAACGCAGAGACAGGUGGUGCAUGGCUGUCGUCAGCUCGUGUCGUGAGAUGUUGGGUUAAGUCCCGCAACGAGCGCAACCCACGUCUUUAGUUGCCAGCAUUCAGUUGGGCACUCUAGAGAGACCGCCGGUGAUAAACCGGAGGAAGGUGUGGAUGACGUCAAGUCAUCAUGCCCCUUACAUCCUGGGCUACACACGUACUACAAUGCUACGGACAAAGGGCAGCAAACUCGCGAGAGCUAGCAAAUCCCAUAAACCGUGGCUCAGUUCAGAUCGUAGGCUGCAACUCGCCUACGUGAAGGAGGAAUCGCUAGUAAUCGCAGGUCAGCAUACUGCGGUGAAUACGUUCCCGGGCCUUGUACACACCGCCCGUCACACCAUGGAAGUUGG